AUGUACAAAAGAACUCUCCAGUUGAAGACCAUGACCUACCAAGGAUCCAGUGCUGUGAAAUCAAGUGGAAGAAAUGGAUUUAGAGUGAAAGAAAAAAAAAAAAAAGGGCAAGACAACAGAGAUCACUUUUCUGUACUGCUGUGUAUUCUUUUUCCUCUCUGCAAGAAUCUGGCUUCAGCCCAUCAUAGCUGGCAGUGAUACACAAGAUGAGUUGACAGAGAAGGCAGAAGGCACAACAGAUGAAAGAGGCUGCAAGAAAGAGGAGAAAUUCCACAAUUCGGUCCGAAGAAACAAAGAUUUUAUUUGGUCUCAUGGCUGUUCCUUUUGUUGUCAGCUGGAUUUUGCCAGGGAUUUUGGUGAAUUGAAAAUACCUUGUGCUGUAUUUUUUGUUCCUGACAGAUACAGGGAUAAUGGGCUAUAGUUUGUUUAGAAAACCUUAACCCUGAGUCUGUAGGGAGACCCUCAUGGUCAGGAACGUCUUUCUGUUCAGGUUGGAUUAGGAGACAUCUUGUUAGCUUUUAAUGCUGCAAUUUGUAAGCAUAGACACUUUGGUUCUGCACUCAUUUUUAACCAAUUGCCAGAUUUAGCCAACACAUGGUUCCAAUUUUACCCCACCUCAAAUUCUUAUGAUGUAAAUUUUCAUGGAAAAGUGUCGCUUUGAAAACCAAAAAGCUCUAUCAAGCAACUUAACAUUUCAUCAGCAAAUAUAUUUGCAACCAUUAUCAGCAGCUUGCUCUUGGCAAUACCCCAAUGCACUCUCCUAGACAGUGGAUUUCUGCCUCCUGUUAGCUGCUAAAGCUGUAAUAUUUUCCUUGAAAUUUACUUGCAAGACUCUUAUCCCCAAGUCCCUAGUAUCUCCUACUUUCUUUGAACUGCUUAGGCCAUUUCCAGCCACUGAAAAAGAGCCAGUCCUUUAGAGCAGAUGACUGAAGUCUUGGAAAGGGAGAAGAGAG